UACGUAGGCAGCAAGCGUUGUUCGGAGUUACUGGGCGUAAAGGGUGCGUAGGCGGCUUUUUAAGUUUGGUGUGAAAUCUCCCGGCUCAACUGGGAGGGUGCGCCGAAUACUGAGAGGCUAGAGUGUGGGAGAGGAAAGUGGAAUUCCUGGUGUAGCGGUAGAAAUGCGUAGAUAUCAGGAGGAACACCUGUGGCGAAGGCGGCCGACUGGGCCGACCCUGACGCUGAGGCGCGAAGGCGUGGGGAGCGAACGGG
rnacentral:rRNA from 1 species